GGCCAGGAGAGCUGGCUACACCGCGUUUGUUUCCUUUCACUUCCUUCCUUCUGCAGCUAGUCCGGACCAGGAGCCGAGCCGGACUUGGGCGGAGCGCCUUUGCCCCCUGGCCUGAGCACCCACCCUACUUGAUCUGGGGAUCCAGCUAUGAGUGCUCGGUAAAUAAGAGGCGUUUGGAGUGAUGGGCCGGAGACCACAUGAGCCAGGGAGGAGGACGCGGCGACUCUGCCAGCCAGCUACCCGCGAUUACUCGGCGGCGGCGAUGUCGGCCGCGGGCGUCCGAGGCCUGCGGGCCUCCUACCACCGGGUCCUCGACAAAGUGGAGCUGAUGCUGCCCGAGAAAUUGAGGCCUCUGUACAACCACCCGGCAGGUAAUGGUCACAGAAUGACUCCCACCGAGACCUUCUCUCCCUCGCCCUCCAAGCGGACCUUUAGCUACCCGCUGACAACUCUGCCGCUCGAGGCGUCACCCUCAGCCCCGACCCUGCCCUUCAAAUGAAUCCGUCUGCUUUCCCAUCCUGUCUUCGUUUCACCUCUCCUCCAGCAUCUCUCAUAAGCUCCUGGUUCUCGACUCGUCCCCCACUUCUUUUGUACUCACUCCUUUAAGCACGGCUCAAAUUCGGACCAGGCCUUCGAAUUUGAUCCUUCUCAAUUUUUGCGACCACGAAAGGGUCUCGGCACCACGAAAUCUCUUACUCCCUUGUUUCCCUCCUCUAAUAGGGACCUAUGCGGAACCGAGCUAGAUAGGUGGCCAGAAGGUUUGAAGUAGAGGUCACAUUUCCUUUAGCUCCUGCUCGUAGAGGCCUGCAGAACGAGCCCUCCCGCAAACUGGAUGCCUUACCAGGUUUCAAAUGUAAUGAAACCAGCGUGCUUUCUUCUCCCAUGGGUCGAUUUUGUUUCUUUAAAUCUGGACUUACGAAAUUACUGAAAAAGCGCUACCUUACUGUGAAGACAGACCUGGAUUUUAAAUUCUGCUCCGCCAUUUGCUAUAGUUGUGACCUUGGGCAAAAUCCUAGAUCUGUCUUAAUUUCUGGUCAUUGUGAGAAUUAAAGGUAACUUAUAUGCUUGGUUCUUUGGUUCUUUGUGAAGGCUCAGUAAAUAUUAGCCACUGAAAUAAUUAUGUAAGAAACUUGAAGAUCUCAAUCCCCGCCCCCCAACUCUUUAUUAAAGACAUCCUAACUACCUAGAAUUGUAGGUAGUUUUCCAUUAAAAAAGGACAGUAGUAAUUCUUACUUGGCUGAGUACUAAAACUAGAUAUCUUCUGAGGGAGGACUCUUUCAAACGCAAGACUUAUCAAAUGAGAAAAUGUGUUAUAAAUUAAAGGCUGAAAGGCAACCAAAACAGGGACUUUUUUCCUAGGUAGUCAUAUCAUCUGCAGUUAGUGUCAUUAGGGAGGUUUUCUAAUUUCUUGUAUAUUUGAUUAGGAAGCACCUCUCUGGGCCCUGAGCCUGUUACUAAAUCUGAUCUCCAGUUUGAUAAUGGAAUGAACUAUAUCUUGGAAUUAUACUUCAAUUUAACCCCUGAUACUAUUUAUUUCAAUACUCUACCAUUAUAAAAAUUGAUCUUUAAGUAGGAAUUGUUAUUGAUGAAUAUGUUUAUUCAGUUUGCUCACCUUUUAGUUCAUUUAACACUCAAUAUUUUGGAAUUGUGUUGUGUUUUGUUGUAAAAGAUUUUCAGGACGGAGGGAGGGUAGAGCAAUGCUGUAGCGUUCUGGGCAUUAGAGAGUAAACUGUCUGUGGAG
rnacentral:lncRNA from 1 species